UACGUAGGGGGCGAGCGUUGUCCGGAAUCAUUGGGCGUAAAGAGCGUGUAGGCGGCUUGGCAAGUCUGACGUGAAAGCCCGCGGCUCAACCGCGGAUUGUCGGUGGAAACUGCCUCGCUAGAGUCCGGAAGAGGAGAGCGGAAUUCCUGGUGUAGCGGUGGAAUGCGCAGAUAUCAGGAAGAACACCCGUGGCGAAGGCAGCUCGCUGGGACGGUACUGACGCUGAGACGCGAAAGCGUGGGGAGCGAACAGG
rnacentral:rRNA from 1 species